GACGAACGCUGGCGGCGUGCUUAACACAUGCAAGUCGAACGGAAAGGCCCUGCUUUUGUGGGGUGCUCGAGUGGCGAACGGGUGAGAAACACGUGAGUAACCUGCCCUUGACUGUGGGAUAACUUCAGGAAACUGGGGCUAAUAUCGGAUAGGAGCUCCUGCUCCACGGGGGGGGUUGGAAAGUUUCGGCGGUUGGGGCUGGAUUCGCGGCUUAUCAGCCUGUUGGUGGGGUAGUGGCAUACGAAGGCUGAGACGGGUAGCCGGCCUGGGAGGGUGACCAGGCUCAUUGGGCCUGCGAUACGGACCAGUCUCCAACGUGACGCAGCGGGCGGAAGCAUUGCGCAGUGGCCGGGAGCGUGAGACGGAAACGCUGGGGUCGGGAAGCCGUGUUACGAGUUGUGAACCAAUUUCGCCUUAGACGUGGCCUGCGUGACGGUAACGAGUAAAAAAGCACCGGCUAACUACGUG
rnacentral:rRNA from 1 species